rnacentral:rRNA from 1 species
UACGGGGGGGGCAAGCGUUGUUCGGAAUUACUGGGCGUAAAGGGCGCGUAGGCGGCUUGCUAAGUCAGACGUGAAAUCCCUCGGCUUAACCGGGGAACUGCGUCUGAUACUGGAUGGCUUGAGGUUGGGAGAGGGAUGCGGAAUUCCAGGUGUAGCGGUGAAAUGCGUAGAUAUCUGGAGGAACACCGGUGGCGAAGGCGGCAUCCUGGACCAAUUCUGACACUGAGGAGCGAAAGCCAGGGGAGCAAACGGG